CCUACGGGUGGCAGCAGUGGGGAAUAUUGCACAAUGGGGGAAACCCUGAUGCAGCGACGCCGCGUGAGUGAAGAAGGAAUUCGGUAUGUAAAGCUCUAUCAGCAGGGAAGAAAAUGACGGUACCUGAGUAAGAAGCCCCGGCUAACUACGUGCCAGCAGCCGCGGGAAGACGUAGGGGGCAAGCGUUAUCCGGAUUUACUGGGUGAAAAGGGGGGGUAGACGGCAGUGCAAGUCUGGAGUGAAAGGCGGGGGCUCAACCCCCGGACUGCUCUUGAGACUGUACGGCUGGAGUGCAGGAGAGGUAAGUGGAAUUCCUAGUGUAGCGGUGAAAUGCGUAGAUAUUAGGAGGAACACCAGUGGCGAAGGCGGCUUACUGGACUGUAACUGACGUUGAGGCUCGAAAGCGUGGGGAGCAAACAGGAUUAGAUACCCCGGUAGUC
rnacentral:rRNA from 1 species